rnacentral:rRNA from 1 species
CCUACGGGAGGCAGCAGUGAGGAAUAUUGGUCAAUGGACGAGAGUCUGAACCAGCCAAGUAGCGUGAAGGAUGACUGCCCUAUGGGUUGUAAACUUCUUUUAUAUGGGAAUAAAAUGUUCCACGUGUGGGAUUUUGUAUGUACCAUAUGAAUAAGGAUCGGCUAACUCCGUGCCAGCAGCCGCGGUAAUACGGAGGAUCCGAGCGUUAUCCGGAUUUAUUGGGUUUAAAGGGAGCGUAGGUGGAUUGUUAAGUCAGGUGUGAAAGUUUGCGGCUCAACCGUAAAAUUGCAGUUGAAACUGGCAGUCUUGAGUACAGUAGAGGUGGGCGGAAUUCGUGGUGUAGCGGUGAAAUGCUUAGAUAUCACGAAGAACUCCGAUUGCGAAGGCAGUUCACUGGACUGCAACUGACACUGAGGCUCGAAAGUGUGGGUAUCAAACAGGAUUAGAUACCCCAGUAGUC